UAAACAUAUGUGAUGUAAAUUGGAAAGAUUACGUCCUCAUAGGCGAUUACUCUUCUUCUGCACAAUUCUAUGUUACCUUUGCAGUCUUUGUGUUCCUGUACUGCAUUGCUGCCCUUCUGCUUUAUGUUGGCUACACGAGUCUGUAUCUGGAUAGUCGUAAACUUCCUAUGAUAGACUUUGUUGUUACACUUGUUGCCACUUUUUUGUGGUUGGUGAGCACUUCAGCCUGGGCUAAAGCUCUGACAGAUAUUAAAAUAGCUACUGGUCACAAUAUUAUUGAUGAACUUCCGCCUUGUAAGAAGAAAGCAGUACUGUGUUACUUUGGCUCUGUGACCAGUAUGGGAUCCCUAAAUGUAUCUGUGAUGGAGUUUCGCUAUGUCGCUCAGACUGGAGUGCAGUGGCAUGAUCUCGGCACACUGCAACCUCCGCCUCCUGGGUUCAAGUGAUUCUCCUACCUCAGCCUCCCAGGUAGCUGGGAUUACAGAUAUUUGGCUUUCUAAAUAUGAUACUCUGGGGAGGAAAUGCUUGGUUUGUGUACAAGGAGACCAGCCUACACAGUCCAUCAAAUACAUCUGCCCCUCAUAGCCAAGGAGGUAUUCCACCUCCUACCGGAAUAUAAUUAAAGGGAGAAAUACACUGUAUGAAGUAUAUGUUGAUACUAUGACAUGUUGCCAACACCUUGAGAAGCAUUAUUUGUUUCUAAUAAAAGUAAUGGCUUUGUCAAUAUAUUGGUGGGUUUAAAACUUUGCUGCUUUUUUACAUAAAGCCUGUGCCUUUCCUAGAAAGUUAAGAUGUAAAUGUAUUCUCACAUGUAAAUUUGAAAGUUCAGGGGUCUAUUAUGAAAUGAUACACAUUUUUAAAUGAACCAUAAUUUUUUUCACUAAGCUGUUUGCCUUCCAAAGUGUUUACACCUUAAGCCUUAACAUGUAUCUUCAUUCAGAAAACAGUUAUAUUGUCAUACCAUAGUAGGAAGAAAAACCUUUAUUUGGAAUAUACACUACUGUAAGUUUGUACAGA
rnacentral:lncRNA from 1 species